GUCCUUUUAGUGUACUGCUUAUCACAUCUGUCUCACACACAGAAGGCCCCUGAUUCGAACCCAGGCAAGCACA
rnacentral:tRNA from 1 species